UGCGCUCUGUGUGCUGCACAAAGGAAACAGAUCAAACACAGAGGCAAACAAGUGCUGUCUACAGUCUAGAAAAUCUGAUCCCUAACAAAAGACUAACAUGCAUUAAAAAUCUGAGAAUAUUGCAUACUGAAUAUUCAGGAGAGCUGCAGUGCCAAAUAAGGAGUCAAGAAGGACACUAUCUGAAUUUGUGCCAGCUCCAACAGGAACUGGCUGAAGUGACUUUGGGAUGUAACAGGUGAGGCAUUAGGAAACACUUUCCAUAGGUGGUGAAGCUCUGGAGAAGGCUUUCUGCAGGCUGGAGGACUCACUGCUGAACGGCGUCCAACAACAGGUUACCAGAUACCUGCCAGGGGCAGCAGAAGUGUCAGCCUGCCUCAACUACUGGCAAGAUAAAGAGUCUUCCCUGGUACCAGAGUAAUUCAGAGCAGAAGUUAAGACAUACUCCCUUUCGCAGAGGAGCCAAGAUGUUCCUUAGGUUCCACAGCUCAGUUAUCUUGCCAGAAGCGCCGCAGAUUUCUCCCUCUUAAGUCAAGAGCAUUAAUAUUUAAUCACUGCAAGACCAAACUCAGUGCGAGGGCCACCCUAUGAGACAUGGCCAAGGUCAGCGCUGCGGAAGAGAC